rnacentral:rRNA from 1 species
GACGAACGCUGGCGGCGUGCUUAACACAUGCAAGUCGAACGAAGUGGCGAACGGGUGAGUAACGCGUAAUCAACCUGCCCUUCAGCGGGGGAUAACAGUUGGAAACGACUGCUAAUACCGCAUACUGAAGGGGGGGAUUGCGUCUGAUUAGCUAGUUGGAGGGGUAACGGCCCACCAAGGCGAUGGUCAGUAGCCGGUCUGGGAGGAGGAACGGCCACAUUGGGACUGGGGCACGGGCCAGACUCCUACGGGAGGGAGCAAGGGGGAAUCUUCCGCAAUGGAAGAAAGGCUGACGGAGCAACGCCGGGGGAGUGAUGACGGGCUUCCGGUUGUAAAGCUCUGUUAGUCGGGACGCGGUACCGGAAUAGAAAGCCACGGCUAACUACGUGCCAGCAGCCGCGGUAAUUC